GACGAACGCUGGCGGCGUGCUUAACACAUGCCAGUCGAACGGAAAGGCCCUGCUUUUGUGGGGUGCUCGAGUGGCGAACGGGUGAGUAACACGUGAGUAACCUGCCCUUGACUUUGGGAUAACUUCAGGAAACUGGGGCUAAUACCGGAUAGGAGCUCCUGCUGCUUGGUGGGGGUUGGAAAGUUUCGGCGGUUGGGGAUGGACUCGCGGCUUAUCAGCUUGUUGGUGGGGUAGUGGCUUACCAAGGCUUUGACGGGUCGCCGGCCUGAGAGGGUGACCGGCCACAUUGGGACUGAGAUACGGCCCAGACUCCUACGGGGGGCAGCAGUGGGGAAUAUUGCACAAUGGGCGGAAGCCUGAUGCAGGAACGCCGGGUGCGGGAUGACGGCCUUCGGGUUGUAAACCGCUUUCGCCUGGGACGAAGCGUGAGUGACGGUAAUGGGUAAAGAAGCACCGGCUAACUACGUG
rnacentral:rRNA from 1 species